UCUGGGAAACUGGAAUUAAUACCGUAUACGCCCUACGGGGGAAAGAUUUAUCGGGGAAGGAUUGGGCCGCGUUGGAUUAUUCUAUGUUGGUGGGGUAACGGCCUACCCAGGCGACGAUCCAUAGCUGGUCUGAGAGGAUGAUCAGCCACAUUGGGACUGAGACACGGCCCAGACUCCUACGGGAGGCAGCAGUGGGGAAUAUUGAACAAUGGGCGCAAGCCUGAUCCAGCCAUGCCGCGUGAGUGAUGAAGGCCUUAGGGUUGUAAAGCUCUUUCACCGAUGAAGAUAAUGACGGUAGUCGGAGAAGAAGCCCCGGCUAACUUCGUGCCAGCAGCCGCGGUAAUACGAAGGGGGCUAGCGUUGUUCGGAAUUACUGGGCGUAAAGCGCACGUAGGCGGAUAUUUAAGUCAGGGGUGAAAUCCCAGAGCUCAACUCUGGAACUGCCUUUGAUACUGGGUAUCUUGAGUAUGGAAGAGGUAAGUGGAAUUGCGAGUGUCGAGGUGAAAUUCGUAGAUAUUCGCAGGAACACCAGUGGCGAAGG
rnacentral:rRNA from 1 species